GAGGCAUUCUGUUGGUUUUUCUCAACAGCCUCAUUAGCUAAGGACUGUAAUUAUUCCCCCUUUACAAGAUGGGGGUGAGCUCAAACAGAUUAAUCUGACCAGAGUCACAGCGAGAAAAGUGGUGGUGCAGAGUCCAUUCUAUGGAACUGGACUCCGGAAUAUAUCCUCUUAGCCUCUGUGCUCUACUCAUACCACAUAAGCACAUCCCAGUUAUGUGGACUCUGAGUAACAGAUGAUAAGGAAAGAAGUCAAAUGAGAUUAUCAAUUCAGCUCUGAUUACCUGAAGGUGUGAGCUCAGAUGGUUGCCAAGGAAAGGCUGUGGAGAAAUCAUGCCAGGCUAGUGUAAGCAGCAGACAGUCAUGCUAGAGCCCAGAGAGCAGGCGUCCAAGGUUCAGUGGGGCCAGUCCUAGAGGGACCAACCUUCCCCAGCUCAAACCACUUCAAGCUACUCUAGAAGCAACCCAGAACCAGAGGGCUGAAUGUGAGGUCCUGUUUACUGGGUGCCUAUGUGCCAGGCCAUUUGAUGAGACCAUUUUCUCACUGAAGAACUACUGAAGUGUAAUAAACUGUACAAAAUUUGAUCAGUUUUGCCAUUAUGUAUACUCUCCUGAGACCAUCACCAUAAUCAAGGUGUACUGGCGAAAGGACCCAGGAGUCAAUCUGAAAGAGCUCCCACCAGCUAAACACAAGACAAACUAUCAGUAAAGCUAACAAAAAUAGACUGAGACACAAAUCAAUAUUAUAAACUCAAGUACUGAGUAUAUAAACUCCAAUAUUUAUAAGUCUCCGUUACCACUGAAGAACCCAGAACUGGUAAAUAAACAGAAUCAAACAUUGCCUUUAUUGCACGAAAUGAAUCUCACAGUAACCAAAGAGUAUCUCUGCCAAAGUUUCUCUUUGUAAAAGUGUCUCAAUUAACAAAUGAGAGAACUGAAAUGUCCCUUUUUGCCUCCCUUCAUGAAAUAACCGAUUACUCAAAAACUACGGAUGCUCAAUUACAAAAAGAAAACCAAGUAUGUGCUUCCUGACACACAUUUGUACUACCACCUAUGAAUUAUUCUUGCUUUAAAAAAAAAGAGAGGGGGGGGGCGGCAGUGAAAAAGAAAAUCCUGCAUAUCGCCCAACUUUUUGUGGGCAACCCAGUGGAAUCACUCGGAGAAGCUAAAAUAACCCUAACCCUGGAGUUAUGAUUUAAUCAGUUAUGUUUAAUUUAAAUAUGGCCUGGACAUUCAAAUUUUUUGUGAGGCUCCCCAGGUGGUUCUAACACGUAGCCAAAGUGAAGAUCACUGCUCUAGAUCUAACUACCACUUCACAAGAAUACAGAGGACUGAGAAACCAAACUAUAA